UUUGGUGGCGAUAGCGAAGAGGUCACACCCGUUCCCAUGCCGAACACGGAAGUUAAGCUCUUCAGCGCCGAUGGUAGUUGGGGGCUUCCCCCUGUAGAGUAGGACGCCGCCAAGC
rnacentral:rRNA from 1 species